GACGAACGCUGGCGGCGUGCCUAACACAUGCAAGUCGAACGAAGGAGCGGGUGCUUGCCCUCGCGGAUGAGUGGCGCACGGGCGUGUAACACGCGAGUAUCCCGUCCUUUUCUUUGGGAUAUCGGCUGGAAACGGCUGCUAUUACAGGAGAUUCAAGCUGGAUCGCCUGGGGUCGUUUGGAAAGGUGGUUUCUGGUGUUGCUUGGGCUCGCGUCCUAGCAGCUUGUUGGAGGGGUAAUGGCGUAGCAUGGCCACGACGCGUAGCCGGUCUGAGAGGGUGAGCGGGCGCACUGGCACUGUGACACGGUCCAGACGCCUACGGGACGCCGCGGGGGGGCAUUGUGGACAAUUGGCGAAAGCCUGACAGAUCGAUGCCGCGUGGGUGAGGAAGGGCUGUGGAUCUUAAAGUUGUGUAAUCUUUGAACAAGCGAAGUAGGCACAGUUUUGGCUGUGUUGACGGUAGUGAGUGAAGAAGCGCCGGCUAACUACGUG
rnacentral:rRNA from 1 species